UACGUAGGGUGCAAGCGUUGUCCGGAAUUAUUGGGCGUAAAGCGCACGUAGGCGGACUAUUAAGUCAGGGGUGAAAUCCCGGGGCUCAACCCCGGAACUGCCUUUGAUACUGGUAGUCUCGAGUCCGGAAGAGGUGAGUGGAAUUCCGAGUGUAGAGGUGAAAUUCGUAGAUAUUCGGAGGAACACCAGUGGCGAAGGCGGCUCACUGGUCCGGUACUGACGCUGAGGUGCGAAAGCGUGGGGAGCAAACAGG
rnacentral:rRNA from 1 species